GACGAACCGUGCGAACGUUGUUCGGAUUCACUGGGCUUAAAGGGCGCGUAGGCGGGCGAGCGAGUCCGGGGUGAAAUCUUUCGGCUUAACCGGAAAAGGGCCUUGGAUACCGCUCGUCUCGAGGGAGGUAGGGGCAGGCGGAACUUCCGGUGGAGCGGUGAAAUGCGUUGAUAUCGGAAGGAACGCCGGUGGCGAAAGCGGCCUGCUGGACCUCUUCUGACGCUGAGGCGCGAAAGCCAGGGGAGCAAACAGG
rnacentral:rRNA from 1 species